AUGAACUGGCUCCUUUUCCAGACGGACCCCGGAGCAGGUCCCUCUCUGGGAGAAGAUACAGUGAAGCUAUUAGAAAUAGCAAAAGACAAUGCAGCAAAUGCUUUAGGAACAACCAACCUUGACUUGUCUGUUAGUCUCAGAACUGUUCCUAUAGCUAAAGAAACAAGGCAUGGAAUGGCCAUUCCAAGCAAUGGUGCAAAGUUUGAGGUAAGUAUUCCAGGUAUAUCUAGAGAAACAAACCAUUUAGGACUACUGCCAAAAAGAUAUGAUUAG
rnacentral:lncRNA from 1 species